rnacentral:rRNA from 1 species
CAAUAGCGUAUAUUAAAGUUGUUGCAGUUAAGAAGCUCGUAGUUGGAUUUCUGGUGGGAGCGAUCGGUCUGGCGCUUAGCGCGAGUACUUGCAUCGUCUCCGGCCAUCCUUGGGGAGAGUCUGUCUGGCAUUAAGUUGUCGGGCAGAGGAUCCUCAUCGUUUACUGUGAAAAAAUUAGAGUGUUCAAAGCAGGCUUAUGCCGUUGAAUAUAUUAGCAUGGAAUAAUAAGAUAGGACUUUGGUACUAUUUUGUUGGUUUGCGCACCAAAGUAAUGAUUAAUAGGGACAGUUGGGGGUAUUCGUAUUCCGUUGUCAGAGGUGAAAUUCUUGGAUUUACGGAAGACGAACUACUGCGAAAGCAUUUACCAAGGAUGUUUUCAUUAA